ACACCUCUCGGCCUUUGAGAGGACCAGAGAGCAGGACGGUGCCACAGCCCUUGGGGGACUCUAGGGCCGCGGCGGGCCCGGCUGGUCAUGCGCAGCGCACAAACCUUCAGUUUGGGCACCUCCUGAACCCGCACAUCAUCCCUUAUAGUCCCCACAACCACGGCGGUUUUGUUUUCCCGGCCAGGAAGCUUCAUCUUGCGGAUUAUCCGGAAAAGGGGCAGAGGUGGGCCCUUGGUGCGACUCCUAAACAACCUCUUCAGCACAACCUGGUUGAAUGUGGAGUUGGUUCGUCUGGCCAGAAACCUGUACAGCUUGACCAACAGCCUCAGCCGUGUAAGAUGUGCCUGCUUCCCCCUCGCCUUCUGGCAUGACUGUAAGUUUGCUGAAGCCUCCCAGCCAUGCAUCCUGUAAAGCCUGUGGAACUAAACAACUUGUGAUAGAGGACAGAAGCCAUAUCAGAAGUCACGGAAUUAAUUAUGUGAGUCUG
rnacentral:lncRNA from 1 species